AAAUAAUACUAGCAUUUUGCCAUAUUCCAGCUCUGGGCCAGCUCUGCUUCCUGGCCUGCCUUUCAAUCUUUUCCUUGCUUCUGGCAUGAGUUCCCUUCUCUCUUGAGAAACCAAUUGUGCAUUUGAAAAUACACAUAGCUAUACAUAUUUUAAAGAUAUCAUUUAGCAAGGAUGCUCCUUAUUGGAUGGCCUUUCAUGUUGCAGGGACAGAGAACAGGGCAGUUCCAGACUGCUUCCAAGAUUGGAUGAAGGCAAUCUAUUGACAAUGCUAUGAAGAGACGGAUUUGGAGUUUGUUGGGGGACACACAUGUUGUUGACUUCCCUGUGCAAUCUAGGAUUGAGUGAGGGAUGUAGUUGGAAGGAAAGAGAAGACGCCUCCAUCUUUCUGGUCUAGAGAAAUUAUGCUGGAGCCCCCGACCCAAAUGAGAAAGGAGAUGUUUGUGUUUCCACCAUCUUUGAGAUCUGACUGCUAAUGUAGCUACCUUUAAACAAUUCUGCUAUUUACAAUAAAAGUGAGAUCUCCCUCCUCCA